GUCUGAGCUCAGCUGCACGCUUAUUUUUACGCGUCGGUGUCUUUAAGACGCGCCGCCGUCCCGCUCGAGUCACGCCUCUGGCACCGCUCGCGGCACGACACCAUCCUGAACGGCUGCACGCACACGGCGAACGGACCAGAACCGCCACCCGAGCGGAGCCUCGAGCCGGAGGGCUGCAAAUACGCACGAUUACACAGCUUUGGCCACGUCCACAUGCGUUGGAGAAGAUCUGGGGGUGCCACAAGGGUUUAGUCAGACAAAAUCAUCUCCCCAUCUAAACUUCUGAGUGUGUGUCUCU
ensembl:lncRNA